UUAAUAAAAAUCGGCGUGUUGCUCUUUUGUGACGUUCCGGAGUUUGAGUUAUCUUAACUCUUCUGGGUUUUAAGAGGCUUAAAAUUGACCUUUUUUUGUGCAUUUUAGACGUACAUAAAAUUUUUUUUUAUUCGUCUAUCUUAAUGCCAAAAUCUAUUAGAUGCGACCAUAUCGUGUGGUUUCGUGUCCAUAAAUUUUUCAU
rnacentral:misc_RNA from 1 species